ensembl:snRNA U6 U6 spliceosomal RNA
GUGCUCGCUUCAGCAGCACAUACACUAAAACUGGAGUGAUACAGAAAAGAUUAUUAUGGCCCCUGCACAAGGAUGACAUGCAAAUUAGUAAAGCGUUCCAUAUUUGG